GAAGUCACCAAGGCAAGGGAGACACCAUGAUCACAAAGGUGGUUUUCCCAGGGCACAGCUCAUCCAUUGCACUGCGGAUGUGCUGACCCCUGGGAUUCCCCAAAUGUGGGAAACUCGACUGCAUAAUUUAUAGUAGUGGGGGACUGCGUUUGUGCUCUCCUAAA
ensembl:snRNA U1 U1 spliceosomal RNA